UACGUAGGGUGCAAGCGUUAAUCGGAAUUACUGGGCGUAAAGCGUGCGCAGGCGGUUAUGUAAGACAGGUGUGAAAAUCCCCGGGCUUAACCUGGGAACUGCAUUUGUGACUGCAUAGCUAGAGUACGGUAGAGGGGGAUGGAAUUCCGCGUGUAGCAGUGAAAUGCGUAGAUAUGCGGAGGAACACCGAUGGCGAAGGCAGAUCUCUGGGCCGUUACUGACGCUGAGGAGCGAAAGCGUGGGGAGCGAACAGG
rnacentral:rRNA from 1 species